GCCCUUGUGGCGGAAUUGGUAGACGCAGCAGACUCAAAAUCUGCCGUUCGUCAGAACAUGGGAGUUCGAGUCUCCCCGAGGGCACCA
rnacentral:tRNA from 1 species